AGAAGAAGAAAGUUAUUAAGAAAGAGAAAAAAAGAGAAGGUUAAAGGAGAGAGAAGAACAUCUUAAAUGAAUUGAAAAUAUAAACACUUAAGAAGAUUAAAUAAAAAUUUAUUUAAAAAUAAUGAAACUUACCAUACGCAUGAAAUUUAAUUGAAUCAUAAAUUAAUAUCCUAAAUUAAAUUUUAUAAAUCUAAAUGGUUAAAUCUAUGAUUCACACACCAUACAGUUUGUUUUGAAACUGUAGAGGAUAGUGACACCUUCUAACGCCACCACACUUUACACGUGGCGCGGACAGGUAGAUCCCCGACAUACAUUCAAAUAAUGUUGACAACAGACAAUCACAACUCAAACACCAACAUAAUAUAAUUUAAAAGAUAGUAGACGCCAAACAGAAUAUUUUGUUACAAAGUCAUUAAUAAAUGCUAUAAGAAAUAAC
rnacentral:lncRNA from 1 species